rnacentral:rRNA from 1 species
GGUUCGAUUAAGUGGCUCAGAUUGAACGCUGGCGGGAUGCUUUUACACAUGCAAGUCGAACGGCAGCACGGACUUCGGUCUGGUGGCGAGUGGCGAAACGGGUGAGUAAUGUAUCGGAACGUGCCUAGUAGCGGGGAUAACUACGCGAAAGCGUAGCUAAUACCGCAUACGCCCUUCGGGGAAAGCGGGGGACCUUUCGGGGCCUCGCACUAUUAGAGCGGCCGAUAUCGGAUUAGCUAGUUGCGGGGUAACGGCUCACCAAGGCGACGAUCCGUAGCUGGUUUGAGAGGACGACCAGCCACACUGGGACUGAGACACGGCCCAGACUCCUACGGGAGGCAGUGGGGAAUUUUUGACAAUGGGGGAAACCCUGAUCUGAGCCAUCCCGCGUGUGCGAUGAAGGCCUUCGAAGCUGGUAAAAAAGCACCCUUAUAGGAAAGAACGGCACGGAUAAUACCCUGCAACUGACGGUACCCGCAGAAUAAGCACCGGCUAACUACGUGUGCCAGCAGCCGCGGUAAUACGUAGGGUGCAAGCGUUAAUCGGAAUUACUGGGCGUGAAGCGUGCGCAGGCGGUUCGGAAAGAAAGAUGUGAAAUCCCAGAGCUUAACUUUUGGAACUGCAUUUUUAACUACCGAGCUAGAGUGUGUCAGAGGGAGGUGGGAAUUCCGCGUGUAGCAGUGAAAUGCGUAGAUAUGCGGAGGAACACCGAUGGCGAAGGCGCCUCCCUGGGAUAACACUGACGCUCAUGCACGAAAGCGUGGGGAGCAAACAGGAUUAGAUACCCUGGUAGUCCACGCCCUAAAACGAUGUCAACUAGCUGGUUGGGGCCUUCGGGCCUUGGUAGCGCAGCUAACGCGAAGUUGACCGCCUGGGGAGUACGGUCGCAAGAUUAAAACUCAAAGGAAUUGACCGGGACUCGCACAAGCGGUGGAUGAUGUGGAUUAAUUCGAUGCAACGCGAAAACCUUACCUACCCUGACAUGUCUGGAAUCCCGAAGAGAUUUGGGAGUGCUCGCAAGAGAACCGGAACACAGGUGCUGCAUGGCUGUCGUCAAUGUGUCGUGAGAUGUUGGGUUAAGUCCCGCAACGAGCACAACCCUUGUCAUUAGUUGCUACGAAAGGGCACUCUGAUCGUGAGACUGCCAGUGACAAACCGGAGGAAGGUGGGGACACGUCAAGUCCUCAUGGCUCCUUAUGGGUAGGGCUUCACACGUCAUACAAUGGUCGGGACAGAGGGUCGCCAACCAUGAGGGGAGCCAAUCCCAGAAACCCGAUCAGUCCGGACGUAGUCUGCAACUCGACUGCGUGAAGUCGGAAUCGCUAGCAAUCGCGGAUCAGCAUGUCGCGGUGAAUACGUUCCCGGGUCUUGUACACACCGCCCGUCACACCAUGGGAGGUUUUACCAGAAGUAGUUAGCCUAACCGUAAGUGAGGGCGAUUACCACGGUAGGAUUCAUGACUGGGGUGAAGUCGCAACAAGGUAG